rnacentral:siRNA from 1 species
AGGGCAAAACUGUGUCAAAAAGUA